UUAAAUAAUAAUAAUUUAUUAAUUUAGUCUCCUUUGGCGUUCUAACAUUUUCCUAUAAAUAGAGGGCUAAGUUAUAAUUGAAAAUCACACCAGAAACAAAGUUUUCUCUCUCUAAAUUAUCGAGCGUAUUCUUGUGAGUAUACUUUGAGUGUUGCUAUACGGUGCGGGUUUCUGUCAGCACUAUACCGAAAUUCAGUCAGAAGUACGGUUAUUUUGAG
rnacentral:lncRNA from 1 species